UUCCGGUUGAUCCUGCCGGAGGUCACCGCUAUUGGAGUUCGCUUAAGCCAUGCGAGUCAAGGGGACUUCGGUCACCGGCGCACUGCUCAGUAACACGUGGAUAACCUGCCCUUAGUGGGGGAUAGCCUCGGGAAACUGAGGGUAAUACCCCAUAGGCCAUUUGUACUGGAAGGUCUUAUGGCUGAAAGCUCCGGCGCCUAAGGAUGGGUCUGCGGCCUAUCAGGUUGUAGUGGGUGUAACGGACCCACUAGCCGACGACGGGUACGGGUCGUGGGAGCGAUCGCCCGGAGAUGGAUUCUGAGACAUGAAUCCAGGCCCUACGGGGCGCAGCAGGCGCGAAAACUUCGCAAUGUGGGCAACCACGACGAGGGAACUCCAAGUGCCAGCACCUUGUGUUGGCUUUUCUCAUACCUAAAAAGUAUGAGGAAUAAGGGCUGGGUAAGACUGGUGCCAGCCGCCGCGGUAAUACCAGCAGCCCUAGUGGCGAUCACUAUUAUUGGGCCUAAAACGUCCGUAGCCGGUUCAGUAAAUCUCCGGGUAAAUCGACUGGCCUAACCAGCCGAAUUCCGGAGAGACUGCUGGACUUGGGACCGGGUGAGGGUCGAGUACUUCUGGGGGAGGGGUGAAAUCCUUUAAUCCCAGAAGGACCACCGGUGGCGAAGGUGUCGACCUAGAACGGCUCCGACGGUAAGGGACGAAACCUGGGGCGCAAACGGGAUUAGAUACCCCGGUAGUCCAGGGCGUAAACGCUGUGGGCUUGGUGUUGGAUGUCCUACGAGGGCAUUCAGUGCCGAAGAGAAGUUGAUAAGCCUACUGCCUGGGGAGUACGCUCGCAAGAGUGAAACUUAAAGGAAUUGGCGGGGGAGCACCGCAACGGGUGGAGCGUGCGGUUUAAUUGGAUUCAACGCCGGAAAACUCACCGGGGGAGACCACCGUAUGAGAGUCAGGCUGAAGACCUUACUCGAUUAAUAGGUGGAGAGGUGGUGCAUGGCCGUCGUCAGUUCGUACUGUGAAGCGUUCUGUUAAGUCAGAUAACGAACGAGACCCUCGCUGCCAGUUGCCACUGUUCUCUCCGGAGGACAAGCACACUGGUGGGACCGCUGGCGCAAAGUCAGAGGAAGGAGAGGGCGACGGUAGGUCAGUAUGCCCUGAAUCCCCACGGGCCACACGCGCGCUACAAAGGACGGGACAAUGGGUAUCGACUCCGAAAGGAGAAGGUAAGCCCGAAACCCGCUCCGUAGUUCGGAUCGAGGGUUGCAACUCACCCUCGUGAAGCUGGAAUCCGUAGUAAUCGCGGAUCAACAUCCCGCGGUGAAUGCGCCACUGCUCCUUGCACACACCGCCCGUCAAACCA
rnacentral:rRNA from 1 species